UAUAUGAAGGAGAGAAAGUACGUCUUUUACAAUUAAUUAGAAAAAUAACUCUUUUGUUAUUUAAUUUUUAUUGCCGUUUUAGUGAUGGUGAGUUGUUACCGGCGCUCAAGGACUCAGGAAUGAAAGGCUCUCUGUCAAGUCUGUCUAACGAAAAACAAAAAAAAACACAUAUUACUGCUUGGUCUUGAUGAUUGUCAUUAAAUUGUCAUUUCCCAAUUGUCACUGAACCUCAUUUGAACAAUCACAGAAAUAAAUUAUUAUUAUGUUGAACAAUUACAAAUUAUAAUUACACUAAUUCUGGAAAUUACCAUAAAAAGACAUUCCUAUCGUCUUCUAAGUAAUAAACUCCGAUAAUUUAAAUACAAUGGGUUUUGUAUACAAAUAAAUACAAAAUACAAAACAAAAAGUAUCAGUUAAUAUUUUCACGAAAGCCAUAAAAUAUAUUACUGUGACUUUAUGGUAUUUAAGGUGGUUGGUUACGCCCAACUUUCUUCAAUAUGAAAUCUCGGCAAAUAUAAGGAAAAAAAACCUGUUAAGAAUAAUCUUAUUGAGAGGAAGCUAGGUUAAAUAAUGUGAAUUUUUGUUCCCAUAAAUUACGGCUCAAUCCUACACAGUAUAUAUUUAUAGCAUUUAUACGAACGCCUCAAUGUAGCACAGAAGCCCUUCGAUUGUUUUGCGGUCAACGGGAGCCAAACAUGCGACUCGAAGAGCACUACUAGAUCUUAGCCAGUUUUAAAAGGCAAAACUAAGCAAAUGUUUACUACAUCACUAAGCGCACAUUGACGUAUUUCACACAUUUAAAAAAAAAGCGCUUAGGCAUAGAGGAGGCAAGAUAGUAAAAACGAUAAAAGGAA